rnacentral:rRNA from 1 species
AGCGGAGGGAUCAUUACUGAGUUUACGCUCUAUAACCCUUUGUGAACAUACCUAUAACUGUUGCUUCGGCGGGUAGGGUCUCCGCGACCCUCCCGGCCUCCCGCCUCCGGGCGGGUCGGCGCCCGCCGGAGGAUAACCAAACUCUGAUUUAACGACGUUUCUUCUGAGUGGUACAAGCAAAUAAUCAAAACUUUUAACAACGGAUCUCUUGGUUCUGGCAUCGAUGAAGAACGCAGCGAAAUGCGAUAAGUAAUGUGAAUUGCAGAAUUCAGUGAAUCAUCGAAUCUUUGAACGCACAUUGCGCCCGCCAGCAUUCUGGCGGGCAUGCCUGUUCGAGCGUCAUUUCAACCCUCAAGCUCUGCUUGGUGUUGGGGCCCUACAGCUGAUGUAGGCCCUCAAAGGUAGUGGCGGACCCUCCCGGAGCCUCCUUUGCGUAGUAACUUUACGUCUCGCACUGGGAUCCGGAGGGACUCUUGCCGUAAAACCCCCCAAUUUUCCAAAGGUUGACCUCGGAUCAGGUAGGAAUACCCGCUGAACUUAAGCAUAUCAAUAAGCGGAGGAAAAGAAACCAACAGGGAUUGCCUCAGUAACGGCGAGUGAAGCGGCAACAGCUCAAAUUUGAAAUCUGGCCCUAGGCCCGAGUUGUAAUUUGCAGAGGAUGCUUUUGGUGCGGUGCCUUCCAAGUUCCCUAGAACGGGACGCCAGAGAGGGUGAGAGCCCCGUACAGUUGGACACCAAGCCUUUGUAAAGCUCCUUCGACGAGUCGAGUAGUUUGGGAAUGCUGCUCAAAAUGGGAGGUAUAUUUCUUCUAAAGCUAAAUACCGGCCAGAGACCGAUAGCGCACAAGUAGAGUGAUCGAAAGAUGAAAAGCACUUUGAAAAGAGGGUUAAACAGCACGUGAAAUUGUUAAAAGGGAAGCGCUUGUGACCAGACUUGCGUCCGGUGAAUCACCCAGCUCUCGCGGCUGGGGCACUUCGCCGGCUCAGGCCAGCAUCAGCUCGCUGUCGGGGACAAAAGCUUCAGGAACGUAGCUCUCUUCGGGGAGUGUUAUAGCCUGUUGCACAAUACCCUUCGGCGGGCUGAGGUACGCGCUCCGCAAGG